CGGUUAGGUUUAUUUUAAAAAAUCAUUUUCUUUGCGGAUGCCGAUUGGCUGACGUUUAAACGUGACAUAGAAGUUCAUUUCACUUCAUCAAUCAUUAUUUAUUUCGUAUACAAACGAUGCACAUCACAUCUCAUUUUCAAUAAUAUUCACGCCUCCCGACGAUGCGUUUUUCGUGACGUCAUACACCCUCAUCACUCGCAUCUCCUCAAGUCGCCUUACCUCACUUCACCUCGUCAAGAUAAUGGCGGCUUUGCUGCAGUUUUAACUGACAAGCCUUGUCCCUUGUUAUCGUGUCAGGUGGUUCUUCGGGGAAGCGACGCAUCGACGGGAAGGAUUGGCGCCUCGUCUCACCAGCACGUGUUCAGAAGCGCGAGGGUAUUCGCUGAAGCUCGGGAAGGAUCGCGGCUCACAGCGAUUGGAUCCAGCUCGCUCUCGCUGGAGCCCGGGUCCGAGCAGCUUGAAGACCACACGAGGUGGAGAGGUUCGAGAUAGCUUCUGGGUUUCAGCUCAUCUGUCCUUCCGAGCUGAAGUCCGUAAUAAAGGCAUCAGCCACCAUUUCUUGGGUGGUUUAAGACGAGGAGGAAAAUGGCAGAAGAUUAAAUGAUAUUUUUUGUUUUAAGAAAAGCGCCCAGCGUGAACAUCCGAAGAGGAAUUGAAGAUUAAUAUUUAUCCUGUAGGAUUUGCUGCGGAGGUGCCCAAUUUGGAUAGAUUCAUUGAGUGCUGGUUUUUCCUUUUUUGUUUUGCACCAAGUAUGACAUCUUGUUCUGCAUCUCGAACUGAUGGACAGGUGAUGAACCUUGGCACCAUUUUUGAAGAACAUCACUAUGGACGUUACAAACCCCAAGUAUCAAGUGUAAUAGAAUUGGAUCACAUGUACACUUGCUUGCCUCCUCCUGAAAGUACUGUCUUGAACAUGCAAGUAAACAAAGAAAAUUGUGGUGAAGAUGUAAUUUCGAAAAUGAAACCUUUGCUGAAAGAAAAAGAGCAUGCAGAUGAAUGUGUUGGAUCUGAAACUCAUCAUGUGAAGAUGAGCCAUUAUGUUUUGAUUAUUGGAUUGACUGAAAAGGUGAAAACAAUAUUUGUUAUCAACCCAGUAUUCCACACUGGACAUGUACUAGAGAUUCCUGACUGUGUGAAAGUGAAGAACUUAUCUUUAAGUGCUCUACCACUCAAUAUCCAAGAGCAGAUUCAAAAAUGCAAGAAGCAAAAUGCUUCUGUUGAAGGUAGAUUUCAGAAAGAUGACAAUUCUUAUUUUUAUAUCAGUCCUGUCUUCAUCCAUCCUCAGAAUUGUUUGCAUUAUGAAGCUAGCACACAAGGAAGCAAAGUGGCCUCAACAUCAUUACUGCCUGGUUCUUCCUCCUUUAAAAAUGAGCUUGUUUGUAAACAAAAUGAAGAUGACAAAAUGCAUCAGACUCAGAAAAGGGAGUCUGUUGAUGCAUUUGGGGAAAGGAUGUGCAACUUUUACAAGAGGAUUGAUUCUGGGACUUCGCAAAACUUGAUGCGUAAGAUUGUUGAUGUAAUCCAGACGACGAUGAAAAGUUCACUAUUGAAUGUUGAAUACCUACAUUCUGGAAGUAUCAAAGCUGAAAAUGACCUUUCUUCAGUCCAAAAGAGCACUCCUGCUAUGCUAAAUAAAGUGCACACAAAUUCUUCAAACAACAGAAGUCCAUCAGCUGUUAUGACCUCGCAAGUUUUAGCUUCUGCUCCCACCAUUUUGCCAGAUGUGCACAACUUUCAAGACAAUGCAGUUAUUAUUUUGAAUGGUAUGGUGUACCUUUUGAUUGGAGAGAACAAUCUUGGAGUAUUUUCCACCGAUACCUUGAAAUCAGAUGCAAGUGUAAACACGUUUUUCAAGGAGGGUGAAAAUGUGAACAAGGAUUUUCCAGAAUCUCAAGAUAAAUGCAGUCAUUCCCAAAUAAAGGAUCUCCAAAAUCCUGGAAUGUCACGUACGGAAGAGGUCACAACCACCAAUGAGGACAGCAGCAGACAAUGUAUCACAAUGACAGAUGUAAGCUUGUUGAAGGCAGCUCGCAUUAAUAAAAAAGUUUUUGUUAAUCUAUCCCGUCUGCCUUCUGGGAAUUUACAGCAAGAAAUCUCUGGUGAUUGCAUGAAACCAGAUUUGCCUUCAGGAGAAAAAGAAGAAUGCAUUUUGAAGGUUGAUAAUGGCAGUAAGACCUCUAAAAGAAAAAGGAAAAAAUAUGCUUCCAAGUCAAAAAGUAAAGUGAAACGAAAGGAAGAAAUGUUGGAAUUCUGCCCAGAAGACGUCAAAGCCAAGACACAUUCUGAACAAUCACCGGCACAUUCUGGAGAAGCAAUGGAGUCUGCAAGCUCUGCUCGCUGUAUAGAAAAUGACAGUACUGCAACUCCUCCACUUCAAAAUGGAAAUGAAAACUGGAAUGAGAAUUCUUCUGACAAAAAUUUCCACACGCCAUUUAUGGAUGAAGACUCUGAACGUUUCAUUCGUUUACAACUGAAGUGGAGGAAAGAUUUGGCAUUGGUGGUGCAAGAUAAAAAUCCGUAAGCACUGCCCUUGAUUAAAAAAUAUUCUUCUUCGUUACAUGCUGAAAAUCAUUCGGGUGUUACAGGUUGCUUAAUGAGAAACAAAUUGCACUGAAUUUGCUGUUCUGGCUCAAUUUUAUGCUUUCUUUCAUCAUUUUCAAUUUUUCUUGUGCUGUCGUCCACGUUCAUUGCACAAAAUUGUUUGGUAUCGUGUGAUAUGAUUUCCGUUGACGGAACCUGGUCUCGCAUCGGUAUCAGUAUAAAUGGAAAUCUUUGAUUGUUUUGAACUUUGGAAACUGAAUGGAUUUACAGGGAGGAGAAGUAGUCAAAUAUCAAUAAAAAAAUCACUUUAUUAUUGUUUAAAACCCUGUUCAUCUUUCCCUUCAAACUUCCAACUGAAGUUUUAUUUUAUUUAUUUUGGGGGGUUUACAAUUUGAAUGUUUUUGUUUUCCUGAAAACAGUAAAAUGUUAUUUUACUCCAAACACUGACCAUAGUUUUUGACAGUGCAGUACAUUACUUGCAGAUGUAUAUAAAUGCAAUCAAAUAGUUCAUUGUUUUCUUGAACUUUCUUCUUUUUCUUCUUUUCUUCUUAUAAGUUUCUUCUUUUUAUUUUCAGAUGUAAAUACUGUAUUUUGAGAUUCCCUUUGGUUUGGGAAAUAAAUGCAUUUGAGCAUUUUGAAAGCUUUGACUUCUCACUGAAAUCUAUUAUUCUACCCAACUAGCAUUUUCAUGUUUCAGGACGAACUAAAUUAAAUAUUGUUGGACUGGAUUGAUUUGAUUAGUUUG
ensembl:lincRNA